UACGUAGGGUGCAAGCGUUGUCCGGAAUUACUGGGCGUAAAGCGUGCGUAGACGGUUACAUAAGUCGGGUGUGAAAGCCCCGGGCUCAACCUGGGAAUUGCAUUCGAGACUGCGUAGCUAGGGUGCGGAAGAGGGAAGCGGAAUUUCCGGUGUAGCGGUGAAAUGCGUAGAUAUCGGAAGGAACACCAGUGGCGAAAGCGGCUUCCUGGUCCAGCACCGACGUUCAGGCACGAAAGCGUGGGGAGCAAACAGG
rnacentral:rRNA from 1 species